rnacentral:rRNA from 1 species
GAAUUUUGGACAAUGGGCGAAAGCCUGAUCCAGCAACGCCGCGUGCAGGAUGAAGGCCUUCGGGUUGUAAACUGCCUUUGUUGGGAACGAAAAGCUUUGGGUUAAUACCCCGGAGUCAGUACGGUACCGUAAGAAUCAGCAACGGCUAACUACGUGCCAGCAGCCGCGGUAAUACGUAGGGUGCAAGCGUUAAUCGGAAUUACUGGGCGUAAAGCGUGCGCAGGCGGUUUUGUAAGACAGAGGUGAAAUACCCGGGCUCAACCUGGGAACUGCCUUUGUGACUGCAAGGCUAGAGUACGGCAGAGGGGGGUGGAAGUCCGCGUGUAGCAGUGAAAUGCGUAGAUAUGCGGAGGAACACCGAUGGCGAAGGCAACCCCCUGGGCCUGUACUGACGCUCAUGCACGAAAGCGUGGGGAGCAAACA